AGACUCUAGUAGACGGUCCUAAUAGCUGCUUCUUGGGCAUAAAUAGGAUGUGAGAUCACUGACAGCCUGGCACGCAGCCCUUUGAAUUGUUGGCCACCUGUAUUAUCUGGGGGGAUCAGUCCUUGCAUUAUCAUUGAAACACCUCACAAAGAAAUAGGAACAAGUGAUUUCUCCAGAUUUACAAAUUACAGAUUUAAAAAUCUUUUUAUUAAUCCUUCACCUUUGCCUGAUUUAAGCUGGGGAUGUUCAAAAGAAGUCUGGCUAAACAUGUUAAAAAAAGAGAGCAGAUAUGUUCAUGACAAACAUUUUGAAGUUCUGCAUUCUGACUUGGAACCACAGAUGAGGUCCAUACUUCUAGACUGGCUUUUAGAGGUAUGUGAAGUAUACACACUUCAUAGGGAAACAUUUUAUCUUGCACAAGACUUUUUUGAUAGAUUUAUGUUGACACAAAAGGAUAUAAAUAAAAAUAUGCUUCAACUCAUUGGAAUUACCUCAUUAUUCAUUGCUUCCAAACUUGAGGAAAUCUAUGCUCCUAAACUCCAAGAGUUUGCUUACGUCACUGAUGGUGCUUGCAGUGAAGAGGAUAUCUUAAGGAUGGAACUCAUUAUAUUAAAGGUAAUAAUAAU
rnacentral:sRNA from 1 species